rnacentral:rRNA from 1 species
UACGUAGGGUCCGAGCGUUGUCCGGAAUUAUUGGGCGUAAAGGGCUCGUAGGCGGUUCGUCACGUCGGGAGUGAAAACUCGGGGCUUAACCCCGAGCCUGCUUCCGAUACGGGCAGACUAGAGGUAGGCAGGGGAGAGCGGAACUCCUGGUGUAGCGGUGGAAUGCGCAGAUAUCAGGAAGAACACCGGUGGCGAAGGCGGCUCUCUGGGACGGUACUGACGCUGAGACGCGAAAGCGUGGGGAGCGAACAGG